rnacentral:pre_miRNA from 13 species
CCUGAACCUGGCAUACAAUGUAGAUUUCUGUGUGCUUGGAUUCUACAGCUACAUUGUCUGCUGGGUUUCCG